rnacentral:tRNA from 1 species
GCUCUAGUAGCUUAAC